rnacentral:rRNA from 1 species
UACGAAGGGUGCAAACGUUGCUCGGAAUUAUUGGGCGUAAAGCGCACGUAGGCGGCUUAGCAAGUUGGAUGUGAAAUCCCUCGGCUCAACCAAGGAAGUGCAUCCAAAACUGCUGAGCUUGAAUACUUAAGAGGAUCGCGGAAUUCCUGGUGUAGCGGUGAAAUGCGCAGAUAUCAGGAGGAACACCAGUGGCGAAGGCGGCACUCUGGGCCGGUACUGACGCUGAGGAGCGAAAGCGUGGGGAGCGAACAGG